AGUAACGCCAGUCCAAAGGGAUUUAUUUUCAAGACGUUAUCAAUAAUAUUUUGUCAAAACACGUACGACUUUACUCGGCCCUAUUUCUUUAAACUUCGUCUAAUCUUUAGAGCUUCUUCGUAAAUCGUUCUUCUGGAACUUGAUUUUUGUGUCUCAAACUACGUUUAGCGCCGAGUACAAAAUAUUUGUCGAAGAUAUUCAAAACAAAGCUGAUUGUAAAAUAUGGAGAGGAUCUAUCAACUUCAGGAACAAUUGGUCCUCCAAACUUGCUAGGAAAAUGAACUCUGAUGUCUACAAACUCUUCUUAUUUGGUUUGUUUGUCUUUGUGUUUUCUGUCAUCACCAAAAGCUCAGGGAAUUUGGCUGAGAAUGGAGCGAACGUUUGUUCAAGAACUGUAAG